rnacentral:lncRNA from 1 species
AAAAUAGUGGGGAAAUUGUUGAUUUGUUAUGCUCUGUCUCACAGUUAAGAAUUUCACCAGGCCGGGCGCGGUGGCUCACGCCUGUAAUCCCAGCACUUUGGAAGGCUGAGGUGGGCGUAUCAUGAGGUUAAGAGAUCGAAAACAUCCUGGCCAAAAUGGUGAAACCCUGUCUCUACUAAAAAUACAAAAAUUAGCUGGGCAUGGUGGCACACGCCUAUAGUCCCAGCUACUCGGGAGGCUGAGGCAGGAGAAUCGCUUGAACCUGUUAGCCAGAGAUUGCAGUGAGAUGAGAUCACGCCAUUGCACUCCAGCCUGGGAGACAGAGCCAGACUCCGUUGCAAAAAAAAAAAAAAAAGAAUUUCACAUUGUGUUUUUGAAUCUCACUGUAGCCUCUGUGAUUUGUUUUGUUUUAUAGCUGAUGGGAAAGUGAAACGUAUUAAACUAGUGCAUGCAGCUAUACCUGUUACAGGAGAGACAGUAGAUAUCAGAGACUUGGACAACGUACUAGGAAACAUGGGGAUGAACUUACCAAAGAAGAACUUGGAGAGCUGACAAGAAACCUUCCAGUUGAUGGUAACUCAGUUUAGAUAUAAAAAAAUUCUUCAUAAGAGGUUGAGGGUUUACAUAUGAGUAUUCUAAAACCAGUUUAAUUUCGUGUUAAAAAAAAAAACCUUGCAACAUCUCAGAAAGAUUCAGUUUCAGAGCAAGAACAAAG